rnacentral:rRNA from 1 species
CCCUUAGAUGUUCUGGGCCGCACGCGCGCUACACUGAUGCAUUCAACGAGUCUAAAACCUGGUCUGAUAGGGCUGGGUAAUCUUUUGAAAGUGCAUCGUGAUUGGGAUAGAUGAUUGCAAUUCUUCAUCUUCAACGAGGAAUGCCUAGUAAACGCAAGUCAUCAGCUUGCAUUGAUUACGUCCCUGCCCUUUGUACACACCGCCCGUCGCUCCUACCGAUUGAAUGAUCCGAUGAAUAUCAUGGAUUGAGGAUGCAAGCAGGUUCGCCUGUCUUCAUCUUCGAGAAGUGAAGUAAAUCUUAUCAUUUAGAGGAAGGAGAAGUCGUAACA